AUGGGCGUCCGCAGCGGUUUCUGGAAGGCCCUGCAGCCGUACGCGCGGCUGCAAGGCAUGGGGUUCCUUCAUGGCCGCCGCGUCGCUGUGGACCUCUCCUCGUGGAUCGUCUCCGCCAUGAGCACCAAGUCGCCCACCCUCCGCAACAUCUUCUUCCGCACGCUCUCCCUCUUCUCCAAGAUGGGGGCGUUCCCGGUGUUCGUGCUGGACGGCGUGCCGUCGCCGCUCAAGGCCAAGGCCACCUCUACAAGUGAAGCAUUCACGCGAUGCGUCCACGAGUGUGUGCAACUGCUUGGGCAUCUGGGAAUGCCGAUGCUCCGGGCAAAGGGCGAGGCGGAAGCACUGUGCGCCCAGUUGAAUCGUGACGGCAAGGUGGACGCCUGCAUUACCUCUGUAGCGAUGCCUUCCUCUGAGCCUUUUGAGUGCUACAACAUACAAGACAUCCAGGAUGGCAUUGGAUUGAGUAGGAAACGAAUGAUCGCCAUGGCGCUUCUUAUUGGCAGUGACCAUGAUUUGAAGGGGGUGCCCGGGGUCUUGAGACCGCACUUGCGUUUGUGCAGUUAUUUCAUGAGGAACAUAUCUUGGAUGAAAUGGGAUGUUUCAUCAUCGCUUGUGUGGAAAUGGAAUGAGCAGCCUAAUGUUGAGGCUUUGGUCGACAUGUUAUCGUAUGGGAAGUGGGGGAGAGCAGAUAUCCGACGCCACAUGCUGCCCAUGCUAUCAACCAUUUACUUACGCGAGAUGGCGGCUUCAUCGUCUCCAUCCAAUUCCAAAUCACUGCUUCUUGAUGAUGACCAUUACGAAUUCCAUUCAGUUAAACGGAUCAAGAUAAUACAUGGCAACCCUCAUUACUUGGUCCAAUGGAGGAGCCAUGCCGACGAUCGCAUGUUUUUACACACCGAUGAAGAUGUCCAGCUUGUGGAUGAGGCAUUUCCUAAUGAAGCACGAUGGCAUAAGUGGCUCAAAGGACGAGUGAAAUCAGGAGCAAACAGGAAUCAGUUGCUGGUGCCGAAUGCAGAGAAAUCAAGAGCAAACAACAUGUCCAAGACACCGAAAGGCGCAGGACCCAGACCCAGCUGGAUGCAGCUUAGCAUCAAGGAUUUCUACCGCUCCAAGAAGCCUCACGUAGAAAUGGGCGAGACGUCGACAAGAAAAUCCUCACCCGUGUCUCAGCGACGCCGCUUGCUGUUGGGCUGA
rnacentral:rRNA from 1 species